UACGUAGGGGGCAAGCGUUGUCCGGAAUCAUUGGGCGUAAAGCGCGUGUAGGCGGCCCGGUAAGUCCGCUCUGAAAGUCGGGGGCUCAACCCUCGGAUGCGGGUGGAUACUGUCGGGCUUGAGUGCGGAAGAGGCGAGUGGAAUCCUGGUGUAGCGGUGAAAUGCGCAGAUAUCAGGAGGAACACCAAUUGCGAAGGCAGCUCGCUGGGACGUUACUGACGCUGAGACGCGAAAGCGUGGGGAGCAAACAGG
rnacentral:rRNA from 1 species